GUACGCUGAGCCCGGGACUGCAGGCAGCUCUGCGCAGCCACCGGGAGCCGGGCGGGACUUCGCGCCCCGCUCCCGAUGGCCGUGCAGAGCUGCGCUGAGCCUGGGACUGCAGGCAGCUCUGCACAACCCUCAGAGCCGGCCUCCCGAGGGUUGCGCAGACCUUACUGAAGCCUGGAGAGCGAGAGGGGUCGGUGCGAAAGCCUGCAUUCACCCCAUAGGACGCACACACAUUUCCCCUUCAUUUUUGGAGGGGAAAAUGUGCGUCCUAUAGGGCGAAAAAUACGGUAUAUCUCAUUUGGUUACAAAAUAUUUUCAAGACGUGUUCUGAAUAUAUAGAUUCUGGCUUUAUUCUGUCCCAUCAACAUGUACAUGCUAAUAGUGAACUAAGCGGGCAAAGACUGACAGUUGUUAAGGAUAAUGAUUUAAUUUCCUGAAAAGGGAAUGUUUACUUAUGUUAAAUUACUUUGUAAUUUUAACAUGGGUUUCCCCCCACCCUCUGGCAGUAGCUCUCAUGUGAUUGGCUGAUUGUGAGUCACAUGAGAGAUGCAUUCCAUUCUGUUGUGACUGUUAUUCCAGUAACUGUUGUUUUUUAACUGUUCCCCCCCAGAAUGGCUCCUGAGAGAGGCUUCCCAGGAUACUGCUGAGGGCAGUGUUGUGUCAGUGUGAUCUGUCUGAAGUGAAACAGACAGAGGAAGAUCCCUAAAUGUUAAUAGGGCGAAACCUGUGCAGGAGCUCUCUGAAAGGAACAAAGAGAAGAAACUAAGGCAAAAGUAAAAACUUUUCAUAAGAAACUGUAAGGCCUGAUUGAGGUCAAACUC